GGUGAAAGGCUUGCUGCCUGAAGAAGAGCUUGCGUCUGAUUAGCUAGUUGGUGGGGUAAGAGCCUACCAAGGCGACGAUCAGUAGCUGGUCUGAGAGGAUGAUCAGCCACACUGGGACUGAGACACGGCCCAGACUCCUACGGGAGGCAGCAGUGGGGAAUUUUCCGCAAUGGGCGAAAGCCUGACGGAGCAAUACCGCGUGAGGGAGGAAGGCUCUUGGGUUGUAAACCUCUUUUCUCAGGGAAGAAGAAAGUGACGGUACCUGAGGAAUAAGCAUCGGCUAACUCCGUGCCAGCAGCCGCGGUAAUACGGAGGAUGCAAGCGUUAUCCGGAAUGAUUGGGCGUAAAGGGUCCGCAGGUGGCAUUGUAAGUCUGCUGUUAAAGAGUCACGCUCAACGUGAUAAAAGCAGUGGAAACUACAAAGCUAGAGUAUGGUCGGGGCAGAGGGAAUUCCUGGUGUAGCGGUGAAAUGCGUAGAUAUCAGGAAGAACAUCGGUGG
rnacentral:rRNA from 1 species